rnacentral:snoRNA from 1 species
GCAUGAGUCUGGCUUUAUGGCCAACUCGUCCUCCUGGGUCUCUACUGUCACCCUCCAGAGCAAACAGGCCCCGAACCACUGCCAGUCUCCGCCUGUGGGCUGCUGGCACCAAGUGGGUCACACGGUG